rnacentral:rRNA from 1 species
AUGGGCACGAUGGGACACCACCAGCGGUCGCGCUCCGCCUCCGGGAGCCCCUCGGCGACGCGCUCAUCAAACGCCACCGAGCUUGACUUCGCCGCCGCCGACCUAGAGUGCCCCUUCGGCGGCAUCGAUGCCCUCGGCGCCGUGGAGCUCCGUGAGACGGCGUACGAGAUUUUCUUCAUGUCCUGCCGCUCCUCCGGCGGCGCGUCGGAGGGGGAGGUGUCGUCACCGGUGGCCGGUGCGGGGGCGAGGGGCGGGAGCGCCGUUAUGAGCAGCAAGGUGAAGAAGGCGCUGGGGCUCAAGCCGAGGCGGUCCGCGCCGACGACGGUGCGCACCUCGAGCCAGAAUUCAGGCCCGGUCUCUCCCGGCCGAACACGGCGACCGAUGACGUCGGCGGAGAUUAUGCGGCAACAGAUGCGGGUGACCGAGCAGAGCGACGCGCGGCUCCGCCGAACGCUCAUGCGGGCCGUCGUCGGACAGGUCCAAGUUGGGAAGAGGCCUGAUUCCAUCGUCCUGCCAUUGGAGCUACUCCGGCAGCUAAAGCCGUCCGAGUUCACCGACGGCGAGGAGUACCACCAGUGGCAGUUCCGGCAGAUCAAGCUCCUAGAGGCAGGCCUCAUCCUGCACCCGUCCCUCCCGCUCGACCGCCUCCACGCCGCCGUGCUCCGUUUCCGCGAGGUGAUGCGCGCCACCGAGAUCCGCGCCAUCGACACGGGCAAGGGCUCCGACGCGAUGCGGGUCCUGAACAACGCCGUGCACGCGCUCGCGUGGCGCCCCGGCAGCGGCAGCGACGCGUGCCACUGGGCCGACGGCUACCCGCUCAACGUGCUCCUCUACGUGUCCCUCCUCCAGACCGUCUUCGACCACAGGGAGCACACCGUGGUGCUAGACGAGGUGGACGAGCUGCUGGAGCUCAUCAAGAAGACGUGGCCGAUCCUGGGCGUCGGCAGGGCGCUGCACAACGUGUGCUUCGCCUGGGUCUUCUUCCAGCAGUACGUGGUGACCGAGCAGGCCGAGCCGGACCUGGCGUCCGCGACUCUCGCCCUGCUCGCCGACGUGGCGGCCGACGCCAAGCAGGGCAGCCGCGAGUCCCAGUCCCGUGACCCGGUGUACACCAAGGUGCUCCUCAGCGUGCUCGGCAAGAUGCAGGAGUGGGCGGAGAAGCGGCUGCUGGACUACCACGACAGGUACGAGAAAGGCAUCGGCGGGACUGCCAUGGAGAUAUUGCUGUCCUUGGCGCUUGCCGCCGGCAAGAUCGUCGCCGACCGCGAAUACGCGGGCACCGGGAACUUCGCCGCCGACCGCGUCGACUACUACAUCAGGUGUUCGAUGAAGAACAUCUUCACCAAAAUACUCGAGAAUGGCAUGGCAGAGGCAGACCCCGCAGACGACCCCGGCGUGGUCCUGACGCAGCUGGCGAGGGACGCGGAGCAGCUGGCCAUGUUCGAGCGCGCCAACUUCAGCCCGCUGCUGAGGCGGUUGCACCCGGCCCCCAUAGCGGUCGCCGCAGUCACCCUGCACGGCUGCUUCGGCGUGGUGCUGAGAGAGUACCUGAGCAAGGUCACCAUCCUGACGGAGGAGCUCGUCCGCGUGCUCCACUCGGCGAAUCGCCUGGAGAAGGCCCUGGCGCAGAUGACCGCCGAAGACGCGGCGGACUGCGACGACGACCGGGCAAAGGCCGUCGUCGGCGACAUGGAGCCCUACGAGGUGGAGUCAGUGGUGAUGGGCUUGCUCAAGGCUUGGAUGGACGACAGACUUCGGAUCGGCAGCGACUGCAUCCUCAGAGCCAAAGAAACCGAGAGCUGGAUUCCCAAGUCCAAGGAGGAGCCUUUCCCCGCGUCGGCAAUAGAGCUGAUGAGGCUGUCCAGGGCGACCAUCGACGAGUUCUCUGACAUUCCGGCCACCGCAAAAGACGACGUGGUUCAGGCGCUCGUCGACGGCCUCGACUCAACCUUUCAAGACUACAUCUCCUUCGUCGCAUCAUGUGGGUCGAAGCAGAGCUACGUCCCUCCCCUCCCGGCGCUGACGAGGUGCAACCAGGACUCGGGCUUCUUCCGGCUGUGGAAGAAGGCGGCGCUGCCGUCGUGCCAAGCGCCGGAGGCCAACCCGCGCGGCAGCGCCUCGCAGCACACCCCGCGGCCAUCCAUAAGCCGCGGCACGCAGCGCAUCUACGUCCGCCUCAACACGCUCCACUACGUCCUCACCCACGUCCAGGCCAUCGACGAGUCGCUCUCGUCACUCUCCUCUGCCUCCGGCGGUAACCGGGUGGCAGCGUUCGACCGCACCCGCGCCGCGGCCCAGUCGGCGGUGUCGCGCGUCGCCGAGGUGGCCGCGUUCCGGCUCAUCUUCCUCGACUCGCGCCACUCCUUCUACCAGGGCCUGUACGUCCGCAACGUCGUCGACACACGCAUCCGACCGGUGCUCCGCGCGCUCAAGCAGAACCUGUCGUUCCUUGUGUCCGUGCUCGUUGACCACGCGCAGCCGGUGGCCGUGCGGGAGGUGAUGAAGGCCUCGUUCCAGGCGUUCCUGAUGGUCCUCCUCGCCGGCGGCAACGACCGGAGCUUCACGAGGGCGGACCACGGGAUGGUGGAGGAGGACUUCCGGAGCCUGAAGCGCGCCUUCUGCACGUGCGGCGAGGGCCUGGUCCCGGAGGACGUGGUGGUGCAGGAGGCGGAGGCCGCAGAGGGCGUCGUUGAGCUCAUGGCUCGGCCGACGGAGCAACUCAUCGCGGCGUUCGGCGCCGCCACGUCGGAGUCCAUCGCGGGCGUGCGAGAAUACGAGGACUCGGACGGCGGCGCGACCCUCGUGCCGCCGACGGCGAGGCAGUGGGGCCCCGCGGAUCCAAACACCAUCCUCCGCGUGUUGUGCCACCGCGACGACGAGGCCGCCAACCAGUUCUUGAAGCGCACGUUCCAGCUCGCCAAGCGGCGGUGA